rnacentral:rRNA from 1 species
CCUACGGGAGGCAGCAGUUGGGAAUUUUGCACAAUGGACGAAAGUCUGAUGCAGCAACGCCGCGUGCGGGAUGAAGAUUUUCGGAUUGUAAACCGCUUUUAUUUGGGAGUAACUGUUUGAACGUACCAAAUGAAUAAGCACCGGCUAACUCCGUGCCAGCAGCCGCGGUAAUACGGAGGGUGCAAACGUUGUCCGGAAUUACUGGGCGUAAAGCGCAUGUAGGUGGUCUAAUAAGUGAACGAUUAAAUACCGACGCUUAACGUCGGAAAGGUUAUUCAUACUGUUAGACUCGAGGAAGACAGGGGCAGAUGGAACUUUAAGUGUAGGAGUGAUAUCCGUAGAUAUUUAAAGGAACACCAAUGGCGAAGGCAGUCUGCUGGGUCUUUUCUGACACUGAGAUGCGAAAGUGUGGGGAGCAAACGGGAUUAGAUACCCCGGUAGUCCACACUGUAAACGAUGCUCACUAGGUCUUGGAGGGUAUCGACCCCCUUUUGGACCCGAAGCUAACGCGUUAAGUGAGCCGCCUGGGGAGUACGAACGCAAGUUAAAACUCAAAUGAAUUGACGGCNGAGAGNGCGAGACGACGACGAGGGAGUUAG